AUCCUUUUGCAGUGGGCGUAGCUAGCCUAGGGGGUUUUCCGGCGUGAUUAUUGCUGUUGAAAACUUUACCCAAUGCCUCCUUGAUGACUUGAAAUAUAGUCAGCAAUGGCAAUUUUUGUUAGUCUAUCAGGAGA
ensembl:snRNA U4 U4 spliceosomal RNA